rnacentral:RNase_P_RNA from 1 species
GCGGAUGGCCGGGCGGUCGCGCCCCUCACGGGGUGAGGAACGUCCGGACUUCACGGAGCAACGGCGCCGGGUAACGCCCGGCCGGGGUAACCCGAGGGAAAGCGCCACAGAGAACAGACCGCCGGGCAUGUCCCGGCAAGGUUGAAACGGUGGGGUAAGAGCCCACCGCCCCUCCGGCAACGGAGGGGGCACGGCAAGCCCCGCCGGAAGCAAGGCCGAAUAGGGGCCACGCGCCGCCCGUCCGGGCGGCAGGGGUGCUCCGCCCCGGUGGCCCGGGUUGGCCGCAUGAGCCGGAUGGCGACAUCCGGCCCAGAUGAAUGACCGCCCAUGGGCGCAAGCCCGGGACAGAAUCCGGCGUACAGGCCAUCCGCACCG